rnacentral:lncRNA from 1 species
UCAAAACUUCUGCCAAACUUUCAGAUCUGACAAUGCAUGUGAACUAGGUAGCAGUUUUGAAGAAUCAUCCUUUUUUGCUGAAAAUGGCAUCCUUCACCAAAUAACUAUUUCACACAUACCACAAUAAAGUGGUGUUGUGGAAAGAAAAUGUAAACAUCUUUUGGAAACAUCUAGAGCACUACUUUUCCAAUCCAAACUUCCUACUAUGUGUUGGGGUGACUAUGUUCUCACUGCUACUUACCUGAUCAAUAGACUCCCUUCCAAUGUCUUACACAAUCUAUCCCCUUAUGAAAAAUUUCAUGGUUCCCCUCCAUCAUAUGACUACCUAAGGUCUUUUGGCUGCUUUUGUUAUGCCACUACUCCUCUAUUUGGGAGAGAUAAGUUCUAUACCAGGGUUAUUCCUUGUAUUUUUAUUGGCUACCCAUGUGGUAAAAAGGAUUACAAGUUACUACAACUGUCUAACAAAUCCAUUUUCUUUUCUAGAGAUGUGUAUUUUCAUGAACACAUCUUCCCCUAUCCUUCUUCUUCCUCCUAUCUCUCUUCCUCCCCUUCCCCAUCAUAUUUUGAUUUCCCUCCUCCUUCUUUUACCACUCUAUUCCCUUUAUCUUAUUCAGUUCUAGAUGCUAUCUCACCUUUUUCUACCCCUCCAGUCAUACCUUUUUCUUCUGUCCCUUUAAGAAGGUCAAUUAGGCCUACAACUAUUUCUCCUUACCUAUUUGACUAUGUCUACCACUCAGCCUCCCAAACUACCUCUUUUGAAGCUCCAUCUACUAAGCCACAAUCGUAUCACCAAGUUAUCUCAUCCUGCUUGGCAGGAUGCUAUGCUUAAGGAGUUUCAGGCUCUUGAAGCUAACAACACUUGGGAUCUUGUCCCUUUAAUUCCUCAUAAAAAUUCUAUUUCAUGUAAAUAGGUAUACAAAAUUAAGCAUAAAAUUGAUGGGUAUGUUAAAAGAUAUAAGGCUCGUUUGGUUAUUCAAGGGGAUACUUAGAAAGAAGGAAUUGAUUAUAAUGAAACAUUUUCCCCUAUUGUCAAGUUCACUACUAUCAAGGUUCUUAUUUCUAUAGCCAUUAAACAUCAUUAGACUGUUUACCAAUUGGAUGCCAAUAAUGCCUUCCUCCAUUGGAAUCUUUUUGAGGAAGUGUAUAUGAAACCCCCUCUUGGAUUAGAGGUAUCUUCCUCUAUUCCAUCUCCUUCUCCUUUAGUUUGCAUACUAAAGAAGUCACUUUAUGGUUUGAAACAAACUUCGAGUCAAUGGUUCUCUAAGCUUUCUGAGGCUCUAUCUCUCUGAGGUUAUUCAUCUAGUAAAAAUGACUGUUCUUUAUUCACCAAAUCUGUUGAUGGCUCUUAUAUUGUACUUGCUGUGUAUGUGGAUGACAUCUUGCUUGCUCGGGAUGACAUCCAUGAAUUGGAUGACCUCAAGCAAUUCUUAGACUCCCAUUUCAAGAUCAAGGACCUUGGGUCAGUACAUUACUUUUUAGUUUUGGAGAUCACUUCUCACUCACAAGGUCACCUCAUGACUCAAAAAAAGUUUACUUCUGAGAUUUUACCUGAGUUCCAUUGUGAUAAUUUCACAACUGUUAGUGCUCCUCUUGAUCAUUCUAUUAAACUUACGACUGAUAUGGGGGCUCUACCCACUGAUCCAUCCAUUUAACAUUGACUUAUUGGGAAACUGAAUUUACUUCAACAUACUCGACCGAAUAUCUCCUAUUCUGUUCAGCAUUUGAGCCAAUUCCUUCAGGCUCCCCAGGUGCCUCACUUUCUUACUGGCUUUCAUGUUUUACAAUACUUAUUAAAUGCACCUGAUCAGGGAUUGUUACUUUCUAAUUCAUCUGAUAUGACAUUACUGGCUUUCUCUGAUUCUAACUAGGCUGCUUGUGCUCACUCCCAUUGGUCCAUGACUGGUUAUUUUACCAUACUAAGUGGUUCUCCUAUCUCUUGGAAGAGUAAGAAAUAAUUUUAUAACCGAGUAAAAAGUUAUGGAAAUUUCAAGUUUCAUUUGUAAAACACCAUGAUUUGGUCCCGUAUCGCAUCGCGGAGACAUGUAAAAUCAUAAUUGUCAAAUUUCAGUGAGACUCCAUGAUUGUACCACAUCGUGGAGAGGUUUAAAUUAUCAUUUGUCCAUUUCCAGUAGCUUACCACGAUGGUGGCGCAUCGCGGUGAUGGUUCAAAUGACAAUUCAGUGGGGCAAUACGAUAUCUCCCCAUCACGGAGGUUCCCAAUUUCCCAGUCGUCAAUUUCCAGUGAGCCACCACGAUAGUGGCGUAUCACGGUGGCAUGUUAAAUUGGAAUUUUUUUCUUUUUCCUGUUUUGAUUAGAAAUUUGAAGGGGCUCUUUGGUCAAUUCCUAAGUCCCCAAUUCAUGAAUAACACCAAGAUUAAACCAAUUCUAAGCCUAUUAUGCUUAUUUCAUCUAUUCACUCUCAAAAGAAAAUCCUAAAACUCAAACUUUCUCUCCAAGAAAUCCAAUUUCUCCAUUAAUUCUCCAAAAUAUUUCAAGACCAAGGAUUCAUAGUUCAAGAUUUAGGAUUUCCAAUUCAAGAACUCCAAUAACUCAUCUUCAAAAGCAUAAUAGGAAUCCAAGAUUCAAGCUUUUCAUAGAAGAUCAUCAAUUAAGGUAUGUGGGGUUUUUCAACAAAGAUAAUCCUUUCAUUCUUGUACCCAAGACUUAUUUUAUUAUAAAUUUACUGAAUUUGUAUAUGAUUUCCCAUGAAAUUCAAGUUAGGGUUUUUACCCAUUAUUGAUAUUUACAAGCUUAUGAGAUUUCCAUUACUUUAGAAGUUGAAUUGCAUGAUUAUGUUCAUAUCUUCAUGCAUAUUGCAGAAAUUUCCAGAUUUGAAGUUGAAUUAUAAAUAUUUACAUUACUAAGCAUGAAUAUUAUGUUUUAACAUGAGUUUGAUGCAUGGGUCAUUAAGCCCUAAUUAAAGAUUGCUAUUUCAAGAUUGUUUAUGCUAUGAGCACCCUAUGAUAAGAUUAUUCUUAGAUUUUUGACAAAGAUUUGACCUUUUGGUCCUAAGCUAAGAUAAAGAAUCCACAUUGUUCAUAUGACUUGAGAUUUAAAGAAAAGAAAGAGCAUAAUUGGUUUUCUUGUAAAUCCUUGUGCUAAUUUUGAAGUGGAUUUCCUAAGAUCCUGAGCAUAGGAAUAGGAGUAGUAUUUAGCACCGAGAUGGGUAUGUUAUCAAAGUUUCAUGCUCUAGAACUACGUUCCCCUAUAGGAUUAAAAUUAUUCCCACUUCUACGUGGAUGCCUAAGAUUGUGAUCACUUAAGAUAAAAAGUUUUAUUCCGAUGGCAAGGAUAGAACAAAUCUCCCGAACGUGGGUAAGAUGUUGGACUCCAUGAAUGCUUACAUGGUUUAUGUCAGUUAGAAGAACCUCCCAAAAGAAGUUCCCUACUCUUAAAACAGUCUAUUAGUUUAAAGCCUUAAGAUAAAAGCAUACGUUUUGGAAGUUAUGGUUUUAAUAUUCUUAAAGUCUUAAGAUAAAGUAUUUUCCCUUACAAAAAGCUUUUUAAGGCAUUUUCCCUAAAGCUAUAAGAUAAAGUGCUUUUCCUUACAACUUAAUAGUAAAAAUUUUCAAAAUAAUUUCUCAAAAAAGGGUAAUAGAAAACUUUUAGAAAACUAAGUGUGAAGGCUCACAUUUUAUUCAGAUUAUGCUUUACAGAAAGAUAAUAGUUACAGAUUUUAGCUUUUAGAUUUCAGAUUUAAGAGUGAGUCCUUUCCAUUUUUAGACCGUAUGAUUUAAAGAGAGAGUACAGGUACAACCUUUAGAAAUAAAUAUUAUGACUCACUAGAUUUAUAAAGUAUGAUUUGCUUCUCAUUAUUUUAGAUUUAAGAUAUUCUAGCUUGUGUAAGUCAUUUUAAUUUAGCAUGCAUUAUUUUUAUUAUGAUGAUGAGAUAAUAUUUUACUUAUGCAUUUCACCCCCAUAUACUCAGUACAUCCUCAAAUUACUGAUCCAUAUAUACGCCUAUAUGCUAUAUUGUCUUAUAAUGUAGGUAUAAGUUUUAGUACGCACAUUCAAAUUCAAAUAGUUGCAGAUUCCAGCCAGCAAAAUGAUUAGUCCUUCUGCUUCGGGGACUUUAGUUAGAUUUAUUUAUGUUCUUUACUUUAUUACUUAUAUGUAUUGAUUAGUGGUAGUUGGGAUCGCAUCCUAGCUAUCCAUAUUCAGUAUAGUAGAUGCUUUACAGAUGUCAGUCAGAUUCAGUUAUGUAUAUUUCAGUUUCGUCCCUCAAUUUUAUCAGAAUGUAAAUUUGUAUCGGUAUUGUAUCAUUAUGUAUUCCAUUAUUAUUAUGUUUCCACACAGUCAACUUAAUAUUUAUUUCAUAUUUAAUCAGUUGCUUAGCAGUAUACCAGUUGAUAGGUUAGUUUGGGAUCACUUAUGGUCCUAGGCACUGUAUGGCAUCUCGAGACCAUUUUCGAGGCGUUACGUACCAGAGCACAAUGUUUAAGUGUCCUAGGGUGGUUGUGAAUCCGUGUCUAGUAGAGUCUUGCAGAAUGGUACGGAGACGUCUGUACUUUUCUUUGAGAGGCUACGAGGCAUUUAAAAAAAGUUUCCUUUCUUUCCUACUCUAGAUCGUGCAAUAAAGUUAUUUUCUCAAAAUCUUCUGUCUAUUUGUGUCUUACCCUAAAAUUCUUCAUCUAUGACUUAUUCUUGAGAUAACAUGAUCAACAAGUUCUAAUUCAUCCCCAAAUAAUGCUUUCAGAUUUACUUCCAAAAAUUUCAAAAGUUACACAAAGGGAUUGAGAGGAUCUAGUGUGUCAUAUGAUCCUUAAGUUGAAAUUUAUGUUCUCAUCCUUAUAAGUUGUUUAGUUGAGACAAAAUUAACUAUGUAUUCAGAUUUCCCAGUAACUAUUUCAAUAUAGAUAGUGCCUAUGCUCAUGAGAGGAGAUAGUAUGACCCUAGACUGUUAAAUAUAGUGUGAAUUUGAGGGAUAUUAUGAAAUUCAGUGUUAUGAUUUAUGAGUAGUAGAACGUUAUUAUAGUUGGAAGUAUAGGUAUAGAAGAGUAGUGAAAAGAAAAGUGGGAAUGACGAUUGAUAAAAAAUAUAGAGACAAACUUAUGCAUGUUGUCGAGAUGUGUUAAGCUGAUAUCUCUUUAUGUGUUAGUUUAGUAUAGGGUGAAGAAGGAGUUAUUAGUUAAGGUGAAUUGUUGUUUGCUUGAAGUAUGGAAGGAGUUAUUGACGGUAUUUAUCGUGUUAGAAAAAUUUAGGUGUUUAAGAGGGUAAAUAGUAAUAAUGGGCGAAAGGAGGAUAUGUUGAUGGAUUGUAAAUGAGAUAGGCCAUAUGAUUAUAAAUGAUUAUUGUUGCUAUGAAGUUCUAGUGGACUAGUGUUUCUUGAUGUUUUAUUUUAUAGCUUCCAAGAUAGAAUUAUAUGUAAGGUGGGUUAUUAAAUCAUGUUUAUCACUAGACAGUAAGUUUGAACAGUGGAUAAUCAUCAAGGUGGAAGUAAUAAUUGCUCGGUUAGUGAUGCUACUUAUAUGGUUACAGAUUUUAGCUUUUAGAUUUCAGAUUUAAGAGUGAGUCCUUUCCAUUUUUAGACCGUAUGAUUUAAAGAGAGAGUACAGGUACAACCUUUAGAAAUAAAUAUUAUGACUCACUAGAUUUAUAAAGUAUGAUUUGCUUCUCAUUAUUUUAGAUUUAAGAUAUUCUAGCUUGUGUAAGUCAUUUUAAUUUAGCAUGCAUUAUUUUUAUUAUGAUGAUGAGAUAAUAUUUUACUUAUGCAUUUCACCCCCAUAUACUCAGUACAUCCUCAAAUUACUG